rnacentral:rRNA from 1 species
AGUGAACGCUGGCGGUAGGCCUAACACAUGCAAGUCGAACGGCAGCACAGUAAGAGCUUGCUCUUACGGGUGGCGAGUGGCGGACGGGUGAGGAAUACAUCGGAAUCUACUUUUUCGUGGGGGAUAACGUAGGGAAACUUACGCUAAUACCGCAUACGACCUACGGGUGAAAGCAGGGGAUCUUCGGACCUUUCGCGAUUGAAUGAGCCGAUGUCGCAUUAGCUAGUUGGCGGGGUAAAGGCUCACCAAGGCGACGAUCCGUAGCUGGUCUGAGAGGAUGAUCAGCCACACUGGAACUGAGACACGGUCCAGACUCCUACGGGAGGCAGCAGUGGGGAAUAUUGGACAAUGGGCGCAAGCCUGAUCCAGCCAUACCGCGUGGGUGAAGAAGGCCUUCGGGUUGUAAAGCCCUUUUGUUGGGAAAGAAAAGCAGCAGGUUAAUACCCCGCUGUUCUGACGGUACCCAAAGAAUAAGCACCGGCUAACUUCGUG